AUGGAUGGGUCCCAAGUUUCUCAGAUAUGUGAGAUGCUCGACGCCAUCUGGGCACAACUCCCGGGGCAGGAGGUGGUAUAUCAGUGGGUUGAGUGGAUCCGCAAUUCGUCGCUGUCACACCUCUGGAUUGAUGGCAAAAUAAUAUUAGGUCCAGACAGCCCAGCACACAAAUCAGAUAAUCGUGCUAUCUCAAGAGGUCUCCCAUUGAAUUAUGUAAUCCCUUCGAUGCUCAGCUACAGUAGUAAGAAGCGUCGUAAAGCUUUUCUUGAUGAUCUUCAUAUGUGCCUGAUAUGCCUUACAGAGAGCAAUGGUUCAAACUUCAUCCAGCUGCCAUGCCAGCACUUGUUUUGUGUCACGUGCAUGGAGACCUUGUGCAGGAUACAUGUGAAGGAAGGUACUGUGUUCCAAUUGGUGUGCCCCGGCACCAAGUGCAACAUUUCUAUUCCGCCGUAUCUGCUAAAGAAUCUUCUCAGGGAAGAAGAGUUUGAACGUUGGGAUAGGCUUCUUCUUGACAAAGCAUUGGGCUCAAUGUCAGACGUGGUCUACUGUCCAAGGUGUUCGAUGGCUUGCUUGGCAGACGAGGAUAAGAACGCGCAAUGUCAAAGUUGUUUCUUUACCUUCUGCUCAGCUUGCAAGGAUCCACGCCAUCUAGGGAGACAGUGUUUAACACCAGAACAAAAGCUCAAGGCAUCAGGCAAGUUAACUGUGAGGGAGAUGGUGCAGGAGAUGCUGAUGAUCAGAAGUUUAUACAACGAUGCUAGAGCAUGUCCAAACUGCCGAAUGGCCAUUAGCAGAAGUGAAGGGUGUAACAUGAUGUAUUGUGUGAACUGUGGCAAGUCAUUCUGCUUCCGUUGUGGCGAGGCCAUGACUGCUAGCAAUUAUAACCAUUUCAGUAAAUGUGGGCUCUUUGCGCCGCAAAAAAAGGACUAUAACACAAAUGAUUUGGAGAAGCGACUGAAAGAGCUAGAAACCGCAGAACGCGUGGCUCGAAUGCAUCCGUUAGGCAGUACCAUCGAAUGCCCGAAAUGCCGUCAGAAAAUUUUCAAGGAUGAUGAUGAAUAUGUUUUCUGCUGGGCCUGUCAAGCCAGGUAUUGUACGCUGUGCGAGAAGCGGGUCGAGUUUACAAGGCAACAUGGGGCAAGGGGGCACUGGGGCUCGCCGGAAUGCGUGGGGAUA
rnacentral:rRNA from 1 species